rnacentral:lncRNA from 1 species
GAAAGCAUCAGCAAGCGCCGAGUCAGGGUCUAGGCUGUGCCAAGGUACCAUGAGGGUUAACACAGUGGAGACCAGAAUAUAGGCACCAGCUGCCAGGCUGAGGGAGAUGGCGAUGGCCAUGGGCACCGCCCACCGUGGGUUUUUGGCCUCCUCACUGGAGGCAGCAAUAACAUCAAAUCCCACGAAGGCAUAGAAACAGGUGGCUGUGCCAGCCAGGAUGCCAGAGAAGCCGAAGGGUGCGAAACCACCUUCUUCUGCACUCCAGUUGUGAGGACGGGCCAGGAUGAAACCCAGGACAAUGAUGAAGAGGAUCACAAUCAGACUGAUGGCUGAGAACGUGUGAUUAAGCCAGGAGGAGACUCGGGCUCCGCAGGAGACAAAGGCAGAAGCCACGAGUAAAAUGCCAGCGGCCAGAAAAUCUGGAUAGUGAGCUAGGAAGGGCACCUGCCAGACGCCCAGGUGAGACUCCGUGAAGUUGCGAAUGCUGUGGUUAAAGAUGGCAUCCAAAUAGCCACUCCAGGCACGGGCUACAGCGGCACCUCCAAUGAGGUAUUCUAGAAGCACAUUCCAGCCUAUGAGGAAUGCCCAUAUCUCCCCCAUGGACACGUACGUGAAUAGGUAUGCUGAGCCAGUACGGGGCACACGGGCUCCAAACUCUGCAUAGCAUAGGGCCGCCAGCAGGGAGGCUACAGCGGCCACCAAAAAGGACAAGAGCACAGCGGGGCCAGCCAUGUCCUUGGCCACUGUGCCUGUGAGCACAUAGAGCCCAGAUCCCACCAUGCCACCCACACCCAGUAGAGUCAAGUCCAGUGUGGACAGGCAGCGCCGCAGUGAUGUCUCCAUGCUAGACUCUUCCAGUGGCUUCAGACGGUUCAGUUUCUGGCAGAAGCGUGCCAAACAGGCAGUACUGGGCAGUCCCCGGGCCAUGGCAGACGGAGUACUGAACCAGUUUCUGGAACCUACUGGGGACAGACAGCGGGAAUAACCAACCAUCCUCCAUUCUUUCAUAGACAGCCCACCCCAGUCCUCGCCUCCUCUCCUUAGGAGCCCAGGUCAGCUGCACCAUGGACCUACUUUAGAAGGCUUGAAUGGGACGCGUGUCAGGGACUGUGGGCAGAGGGAUAGAACGCAUGGAAGUCCUUCCUGUCAGCUUUCAGGGCAGUGGAACUGGCAGAGAGAAGCAGACCUGCAGCGGACCUGCGAACCAGAAUAUGACCACCAGAAGUUCCCAGAGGCAGUGCAGGCUCUUCACAGGAUGCAAAAGCAAAUAUGGCCAAACAUCUGCCAAGUCUAUG